rnacentral:lncRNA from 1 species
AGAAACAGGCAGCCUGACUAGAGAACAAACUACCAAUUAACGAGCGAGGAAACAGGGCCAGAGAAUUGGAACAAAAUACAAGGCUGCCUCUGAAAGGAAUAUCUUUGUGCUGAUGUGUCCAUCAAGAGAACAUACACAGAAGUGACACUUGCCAGUAAUUUGCAAGCAGAUGGAACUUCAAUAUGGCAAUAGAGAAAGAAUCAAUUAGACCAGAGUCUCCUCAGGAAGACUUUCUAUAGAUAUCUGGUGAGCAUCUGCUAGAUGCCAGGGUUGGGGAGAGUCAAGUUGAAGCAAGCAUGAACCCUCAAGGACCUACCAUUUCAAGGCAAGAAAUAGAUACAAAUACAGCGUAAUUAUCUCUCCAAUUAAAGAGCAACCAAGGGACAACUGAACUGGAGGUUCUGCAGAAUUACAACUAAGCACGCAGCCGAGGAAUCUACUCAGCUUUGAUCUCUUAUCGCUCUGCACACACAGCCCUUUCUCUGUAAGGCUAGCUGCUCUCAGCAUCACUGUGUCUAAUCAAACGUGUCACACCUCCACUGAGAAAAUAUUUACUGGAUAGCUACUAGACAUAAGGAUGCAGAAAUGAAUUAGAAAAAUUCCUCGCCCUUGUUCAAAGCUAUGCUGGCUCUUAGAACAUCUGAGCCCCCACUGUUUCAUCUUUAGAGGAUCCCAGCUGCUGGGGUGUGAGGCCAGUGCUGGAGCCAGCAGUCUCUGACCCAGAAGGGACCUGAGGUGCUAAAGAAAAUUCUGGAGGCUGAGAAGUCCAAAACCAAGUCACCAGCAGAUUCAGCGUCUGGGGUACAAGCUGGAAAAGGGGAAAAUGAAUCAUGCUACAGGCCAAGUGUCCAUCACUGAUUCCCAGAGAUGCCCUUUGUGUGGUAGGCACUUCCAUGUGGACUCGCUACAGAGGUCAUAAGACCCUAAUUCCAGAGGGCCCUACCCUAUAACCAGAAGGAAGAACUAUUGCACAGAGAAUCUAAGAAGAAUCUAGACAGACAGCCCUUGCUGGAUUUCUCCACUCUGUUAGCAUUCGAUCAUUUGCCUUUUGUCCAGUCAUAUUUCUGCAUGGCUGUCCAUACUUUGUUGAACCUAAGCACAAAAUGGAAAGUUUUCCCUGUAUCUUUGGGUCGUCAUUCUGAAGGCUCCCAUGUUAUGUAAAACUAUGAUCAAAUAAAUAUGCAUGCCUUUUCUCCUAUAA